rnacentral:rRNA from 1 species
AAAUAGAUACCCAGGUAGUCCACGCCGUAAACGAUGAAUGUUAGCCGUCGGGGUGUUUACACUUCGGUGGCGCAGCUAACGCAUUAAACAUUCCGCCUGGGGAGUACGGUCGCAAGAUUAAAACUCAAAGGAAUUGACGGAGGCCCGCACAAGCGGUGGAGCAUGUGGUUUAAUUCGAAGCAACGCGCAGAACCUUACCAGCUCUUGACAUGCCUAUGAAUGUUAGUGGAGACACUUUCAGCCUUUCGGGGCGUAGGACACAGGUGCUGCAUGGCCGUCGUCAGCUCGUGUCGUGAGAUGUUGGGUUAAGUCCCGCAACGAGCGCAACCCUGCCUUUAGUUGCCAUCAUUUAGUUGGGCACUCUAAAGGGACUGCCAGUGAUAAGCUGGAGGAAGUGGGGAUGACGUCAAGUCCUCAUGGCCCUUAGGGCUGGGCUACACACGUGCUACAAUGGUGGUGACAGUGGGCAGCGAGAUCGCGAGGUCGAGCUAAUCUCCAAAAACCNUCUCAGUUCGGAUCG